rnacentral:rRNA from 1 species
CAGCCGCCGCGGUAAUACGAAGGGUGCAAGCGUUAGUCGGAAUUACUGGGCGUAAAGCGUGCGUAGGCGGUUUGUUAAGUCUGCUGUGAAAUCCCCGGGCUCAACCUGGGAAUGGCAGUGGAUACUGGCAAGCUAGAGUGUGUCAGAGGAUGGUGGAAUUCCCGGUGUAGCGGUGAAAUGCGUAGAGAUCGGGAGGAACAUCAGUGGCGAAGGCGGCCAUCUGGGACAACACUGACGCUGAGGCACGAAAGCGUGGGGAGCAAACAGGAUUAGAUACCCCAGUAGUCCCUGUCUCUUAUAC